UCGUGAACAAACUGAUCAGAGAAAGAAAAAAAAAUUUGCAGAGAGAAAACAGUAAGAGAGAAGAGAAAAAGUGAAGAAAAAAAUCAGAGGAAAAAUCAGAGAAAAAUAGACAAGACCUUGGAAGACUUUCUUUCAUCCUCUAUCUCAGUUCCUUGCUGUAUAGAAUAUCAGAAGUUCAGUAGCAGGUUCAGUGUAAGGGGGAGGAUCAAGUGAGUUCUUCUGUCCAUCAGUUGUUGUGGUAAGCUUAAUCUUCUUGCCUCAGUCAAUUCUUGAUCAGAAUCAGAUAUUGAUGAGUUAAGCUAUUAUCAUGGAUCAGUUGUUUAAGUUUCAUCGUUUCAGUUUUAUAUAUUUCAGAUUAAAUCAGUUGCUGGAAUAAUUAGCUCAUGUUUUAUGAACUAGUUUGAUUUAAUCUGAACUGAUCUUAUCGUGGUAUGAACUUCACUUGAUCUGAACUGAUAAACUUUGUUCUGAAUCGAGCUGAUAAGAUCUUAUUUAAAAUUCUUCUUCAGAACCGAACUAAGUAUCUAAAGCUAGUACUUGUGUUUUUUUUUGUCAGCUGCUUGCUAGUCUUGCUGUCUCACUCCAGUUCGUCCUUGUACCUGUGUACUCCUUUGGU
rnacentral:lncRNA from 1 species